ensembl:snRNA U2 U2 spliceosomal RNA
AUUGUUUCUUGGCCUUUUGACAAAGAUCAAGUGUGGAAUUUGUUCUUAUCAAUUUAAUACCUGAUAAUAUCAGUUUAAUUCCUAUAUCCAAAAACUAUAUUAAGUGAAUUUGGGGGCUAGGAGAUGGAAUAGGAGCUUGCUACAUAUAAUUGAUAUCUUAACCUAGUUUACAGUGUUUCUAAGAAUAAUGGCCAGCCU